ACAUAUAGCUGUUUAUAGUAGUUUCUUAUGGUUGUUUGUAUUUCUGUGUUAUGGGUUGUAAUUUCUCCUCUUUCAUUUUCUAUUUUGUCUACAUGGGUCCUCUCUCUUUCAUUUUUGGUGAACACA